GGUUAAGCGACUAAGCGUACACGGUGGAUGCCCUGGCAGUCAGAGGCGAUGAAGGACGUGCUAAUCUGCGAUAAGCGUCGGUAAGGUGAUAUGAACCGUUAUAACCGGCGAUUUCCGAAUGGGGAAACCCAGUGUGAUUCGUCACACUAUCAUUAACUGAAUCCAUAGGUUAAUGAGGCGAACCGGGGGAACUGAAACAUCUAAGUACCCCGAGGAAAAGAAAUCAACCGAGAUUCCCCCAGUAGCGGCGAGCGAACGGGGAGCAGCCCAGAGCCUGAAUCAGUGUGUGUGUUAGUGGAAGCGUCUGGAAAGGCGCGCGAUACAGGGUGACAGCCCCGUACACAAAAAUGCACAUGCUGUGAGCUCGAUGAGUAGGGCGGGACACGUGGUAUCCUGUCUGAAUAUGGGGGGACCAUCCUCCAAGGCUAAAUACUCCUGACUGACCGAUAGUGAACCAGUACCGUGAGGGAAAGGCGAAAAGAACCCCGGCGAGGGGAGUGAAAAAGAACCUGAAACCGUGUACGUACAAGCAGUGGGAGCCUCUUUAUGGGGUGACUGCGUACCUUUUGUAUAAUGGGUCAGCGACUUAUAUUCUGUAGCAAGGUUAACCGAAUAGGGGAGCCGAAGGGAAACCGAGUCUUAACUGGGCGUUAAGUUGCAGGGUAUAGACCCGAAACCCGGUGAUCUAGCCAUGGGCAGGUUGAAGGUUGGGUAACACUAACUGGAGGACCGAACCGACUAAUGUUGAAAAAUUAGCGGAUGACUUGUGGCUGGGGGUGAAAGGCCAAUCAAACCGGGAGAUAGCUGGUUCUCCCCGAAAGCUAUUUAGGUAGCGCCUCGUGAAUUCAUCUCCGGGGGUAGAGCACUGUUUCGGCAAGGGGGUCAUCCCGACUUACCAACCCGAUGCAAACUGCGAAUACCGGAGAAUGUUAUCACGGGAGACACACGGCGGGUGCUAACGUCCGUCGUGAAGAGGGAAACAACCCAGACCGCCAGCUAAGGUCCCAAAGUCAUGGUUAAGUGGGAAACGAUGUGGGAAGGCCCAGACAGCCAGGAUGUUGGCUUAGAAGCAGCCAUCAUUUAAAGAAAGCGUAAUAGCUCACUGGUCGAGUCGGCCUGCGCGGAAGAUGUAACGGGGCUAAACCAUGCACCGAAGCUGCGGCAGCGACACUAUGUGUUGUUGGGUAGGGGAGCGUUCUGUAAGCCUGCGAAGGUGUACUGUGAGGUAUGCUGGAGGUAUCAGAAGUGCGAAUGCUGACAUAAGUAACGAUAAAGCGGGUGAAAAGCCCGCUCGCCGGAAGACCAAGGGUUCCUGUCCAACGUUAAUCGGGGCAGGGUGAGUCGACCCCUAAGGCGAGGCCGAAAGGCGUAGUCGAUGGGAAACAGGUUAAUAUUCCUGUACUUGGUGUUACUGCGAAGGGGGGACGGAGAAGGCUAUGUUGGCCGGGCGACGGUUGUCCCGGUUUAAGCGUGUAGGCUGGUUUUCCAGGCAAAUCCGGAAAAUCAAGGCUGAGGCGUGAUGACGAGGCACUACGGUGCUGAAGCAACAAAUGCCCUGCUUCCAGGAAAAGCCUCUAAGCAUCAGGUAACAUCAAAUCGUACCCCAAACCGACACAGGUGGUCAGGUAGAGAAUACCAAGGCGCUUGAGAGAACUCGGGUGAAGGAACUAGGCAAAAUGGUGCCGUAACUUCGGGAGAAGGCACGCUGAUACGUAGGUGAAGUCCCUUGCGGAUGGAGCUGAAAUCAGUCGAAGAUACCAGCUGGCUGCAACUGUUUAUUAAAAACACAGCACUGUGCAAACACGAAAGUGGACGUAUACGGUGUGACGCCUGCCCGGUGCCGGAAGGUUAAUUGAUGGGGUUAGCGGUAACGCGAAGCUCUUGAUCGAAGCCCCGGUAAACGGCGGCCGUAACUAUAACGGUCCUAAGGUAGCGAAAUUCCUUGUCGGGUAAGUUCCGACCUGCACGAAUGGCGUAAUGAUGGCCAGGCUGUCUCCACCCGAGACUCAGUGAAAUUGAACUCGCUGUGAAGAUGCAGUGUACCCGCGGCAAGACGGAAAGACCCCGUGAACCUUUACUAUAGCUUGACACUGAACAUUGAGCCUUGAUGUGUAGGAUAGGUGGGAGGCUUUGAAGUGUGGACGCCAGUCUGCAUGGAGCCGACCUUGAAAUACCACCCUUUAAUGUUUGAUGUUCUAACGUUGGCCCCUAAUCGGGGUUGCGGACAGUGUCUGGUGGGUAGUUUGACUGGGGCGGUCUCCUCCUAAAGAGUAACGGAGGAGCACGAAGGUUGGCUAAUCCUGGUCGGACAUCAGGAGGUUAGUGCAAUGGCAUAAGCCAGCUUGACUGCGAGCGUGACGGCGCGAGCAGGUGCGAAAGCAGGUCAUAGUGAUCCGGUGGUUCUGAAUGGAAGGGCCAUCGCUCAACGGAUAAAAGGUACUCCGGGGAUAACAGGCUGAUACCGCCCAAGAGUUCAUAUCGACGGCGGUGUUUGGCACCUCGAUGUCGGCUCAUCACAUCCUGGGGCUGAAGUAGGUCCCAAGGGUAUGGCUGUUCGCCAUUUAAAGUGGUACGCGAGCUGGGUUUAGAACGUCGUGAGACAGUUCGGUCCCUAUCUGCCGUGGGCGCUGGAGAACUGAGGGGGGCUGCUCCUAGUACGAGAGGACCGGAGUGGACGCAUCACUGGUGUUCGGGUUGUCAUGCCAAUGGCACUGCCCGGUAGCUAAAUGCGGAAGAGAUAAGUGCUGAAAGCAUCUAAGCACGAAACUUGCCCCGAGAUGAGUUCUCCCUGACUCCCUGAGAGUCCUGAAGGAACGUUGAAGACGACGACGUUGAUAGGCCGGGUGUGUAAGCGCAGCGAUGCGUUGAGCUAACCGGUACUAAUGAACCGUGAGGCUUAACCUU
rnacentral:rRNA from 1 species